rnacentral:rRNA from 1 species
CAAUAGCAUAUAUUAACGUUGUUGCAGUUGAAAAGCUCGUAGUUGAACUUUUGGUAGGAGCGACCUGGCCUUGGGCGCAUGCCCUUGUUUGCCGUGUGUCGUAUCUGGCCAUCCUUUUCUUCUUUUUGGAAGGAAUCUUUUACUGUGAGUAAACUGGAGUGCUCAAAACAAGACGUUUGUUUGGUACAUUAAAGCAUGGAAUAAUAAGAUAGGACCUGGUUACUAUUUUGUUGGUUUGCAUAGCUAGGUAAUGAUUAACAGGGACAGUUGGGGGUAUUCGUAUUUAAUUGUCAGAGGUGAAAUUCUUGGAUUUAUGAAAGACGAACGACUGCGAAAGCAUUUACCAAGGAUGUUUNCAUUA